CUACGUGCCAGCAGCCGCGGUAAUACGUAGGGUGCGAGCGUUGUCCGGAAUUAUUGGGCGUAAAGAGCUUGUAGGCGGUUUGUCGCGUCUGCUGUGAAAGGCCGGGGCUUAACCCCGUGUAUUGCAGUGGGUACGGGCAGACUAGAGUGCAGUAGGGGAGACUGGAAUUCCUGGUGUAGCGGUGGAAUGCGCAGAUAUCAGGAGGAACACCGAUGGCGAAGGCAGGUCUCUGGGCUGUAACUGACGCUGAGAAGCGAAAGCAUGGGGAGCGAACAGGAUUAGAUACCCUGGUAGUCCACGCCGUAAACGAUGAGUGCUAAGUGUUGGAGGGUUUCCGCCCUUCAGUGCUGCAGUUAACGCAUUAAGCACUCCGCCUGGGGAGUACGACCGCAAGGUUGAAACUCAAAGGAAUUGACGGGGACCCGCACAAGCGGUGGAGCAUGUGGUUUAAUUCGAUGCAACGCGAAGAACCUUACCAGGUCUUGACAUCC
rnacentral:rRNA from 1 species